rnacentral:piRNA from 1 species
AAUCUUGAUGCUCCUGGCCAGGGA